AGCAGCCGCGGUAAUUCCAGCUCCAAUAGCGUAUAUUAAAGUUGUUGCAGUUAAAAAGCUCGUAGUUGAAUUUCGGGAUUGGCGCAUCGGACGUGCCUCACGGGGUAUGAACUGGUGCAGUCAAUUUCUCACCUUCUGGAGAACCGCGAUGUCCUUAAUUGGAUGCCGCGGGGAACCAGGACCUUUACUUGAAAAAUUGAGUGUUUAAAGCAGGCAUUUUUGCUUGAAUACAUUAGCAUGGAAUAAUAAAAUAGGACGGCAUGGUUCUAUUUUGUUGGUUCUAGGACCACCGUAAUGAUUAAUAGGGAUAGUUGGGGGC
rnacentral:rRNA from 1 species